rnacentral:rRNA from 1 species
GAGUCGCAAACUCGCGAGAGUAAGCUAAUCUCUUAAAGCCGUUCUCAGUUCGGACUGUAGGCUGCAACUCGCCUACACGAAGUCGGAAUCACUAGUAAUCGCGGAUCAGCAUGCCGCGGUGAAUACGUUCCCGGGCCUUGUACACACCGCCCGUCACACCAUGGGAGUUUGUAACGCCCAAAGUCGGUGGCCUAACCUUUUGGAGCCAGCCGUCUAAGGUGGGACAGAUGAUUGGGGUGAAGUCGUAACAAGGUAAC